rnacentral:rRNA from 1 species
GUUAUAUGGUCAAGUGAAGAAGCGCAUACGGUGGAUGCCUUGGCAGUCAGAGGCGAUGAAAGACGUGGUAGCCUGCGAAAAGCUUCGGGGAGUCGGCAAACAGACUUUGAUCCGGAGAUCUCUGAAUGGGGGAACCCACCUAGGAUAACCUAGGUAUCUUGUACUGAAUCCAUAGGUGCAAGAGGCGAACCAGGGGAACUGAAACAUCUAAGUACCCUGAGGAAAAGAAAUCAACCGAGAUUCCCUUAGUAGUGGCGAGCGAACGGGGAUUAGCCCUUAAGCUUCAUUGAUUUUAGCGGAACGCUCUGGAAAGUGCGGCCAUAGUGGGUGAUAGCCCCGUACGCGAAAGGAUCUUUGAAGUGAAAUCGAGUAGGACGGAGCACGAGAAACUUUGUCUGAACAUGGGGGGACCAUCCUCCAAGGCUAAAUACUACUGACUGACCGAUAGUGAACCAGUACCGUGAGGGAAAGGCGAAAAGAACCCGGAGAGGGGAGUGAAAUAGAACCUGAAACCGUAUGCGUACAAGCAGUGGGAGCCUACUUGUUAGGUGACUGCGUACCUUUUGUAUAAUGGGUCAGCGACUUAUAUUCAGUGGCAAGCUUAACCGUAUAGGGUAGGCGUAGCGAAAGCGAGUCUUAAUAGGGCGUUUAGUCGCUGGGUAUAGACCCGAAACCGGGCGAUCUAUCCAUGAGCAGGUUGAAGGUUAGGUAACACUGACUGGAGGACCGAACCCACUCCCGUUGAAAAGGUAGGGGAUGACUUGUGGAUCGGAGUGAAAGGCUAAUCAAGCUCGGAGAUAGCUGGUUCUCCUCGAAAGCUAUUUAGGUAGCGCCUCAUGUAUCACUCUGGGGGGUAGAGCACUGUUUCGGCUAGGGGGUCAUCCCGACUUACCAAACCGAUGCAAACUCCGAAUACCCAGAAGUGCCGAGCAUGGGAGACACACGGCGGGUGCUAACGUCCGUCGUGAAAAGGGAAACAACCCAGACCGCCAGCUAAGGUCCCAAAGUUGUGGUUAAGUGGUAAACGAUGUGGGAAGGCUUAGACAGCUAGGAGGUUGGCUUAGAAGCAGCCAUCCUUUAAAGAAAGCGUAAUAGCUCACUAGUCGAGUCGGCCUGCGCGGAAGAUGUAACGGGGCUCAAACCACACACCGAAGCUGCGGGUGUCACGUAAGUGACGCGGUAGAGGAGCGUUCUGUAAGCCUGUGAAGGUGAGUUGAGAAGCUUGCUGGAGGUAUCAGAAGUGCGAAUGCUGACAUGAGUAACGACAAUGGGUGUGAAAAACACCCACGCCGAAAGACCAAGGGUUCCUGCGCAACGUUAAUCGACGCAGGGUUAGUCGGUUCCUAAGGCGAGGCUGAAAAGCGUAGUCGAUGGGAAACAGGUUAAUAUUCCUGUACUUCUGGUUACUGCGAUGGAGGGACGGAGAAGGCUAGGCCAGCUUGGCGUUGGUUGUCCAAGUUUAAGGUGGUAGGCUGAAAUCUUAGGUAAAUCCGGGGUUUCAAGGCCGAGAGCUGAUGACGAGUCGUCUUUUAGAUGACGAAGUGGUUGAUGCCAUGCUUCCAAGAAAAGCUUCUAAGCUUCAGGUAACCAGGAACCGUACCCCAAACCGACACAGGUGGUCGGGUAGAGAAUACCAAGGCGCUUGAGAGAACUCGGGUGAAGGAACUAGGCAAAAUGGCACCGUAACUUCGGGAGAAGGUGCGCCGGCUAGGGUGAAGGAUUUACUCCGUAAGCUCUGGCUGGUCGAAGAUACCAGGCCGCUGCGACUGUUUAUUAAAAACACAGCACUCUGCAAACACGAAAGUGGACGUAUAGGGUGUGACGCCUGCCCGGUGCCGGAAGGUUAAUUGAUGGGGUUAGCGCAAGCGAAGCUCUUGAUCGAAGCCCCGGUAAACGGCGGCCGUAACUAUAACGGUCCUAAGGUAGCGAAAUUCCUUGUCGGGUAAGUUCCGACCUGCACGAAUGGCGUAACGAUGGCGGCGCUGUCUCCACCCGAGACUCAGUGAAAUUGAAAUCGCUGUGAAGAUGCAGUGUAUCCGCGGCUAGACGGAAAGACCCCGUGAACCUUUACUGUAGCUUUGCACUGGACUUUGAGCCUGCUUGUGUAGGAUAGGUGGGAGGCUUUGAAGCGUGGACGCCAGUUCGCGUGGAGCCAUCCUUGAAAUACCACCCUGGCAUGCUUGAGGUUCUAACUCUGGUCCGUGAUCCGGAUCGAGGACAGUGUAUGGUGGGCAGUUUGACUGGGGCGGUCUCCUCCUAAAGAGUAACGGAGGAGUACGAAGGUGCGCUCAGACCGGUCGGAAAUCGGUCGCAGAGUAUAAAGGCAAAAGCGCGCUUGACUGCGAGACAGACACGUCGAGCAGGUACGAAAGUAGGUCUUAGUGAUCCGGUGGUUCUGUAUGGAAGGGCCAUCGCUCAACGGAUAAAAGGUACUCCGGGGAUAACAGGCUGAUACCGCCCAAGAGUUCAUAUCGACGGCGGUGUUUGGCACCUCGAUGUCGGCUCAUCACAUCCUGGGGCUGAAGCCGGUCCCAAGGGUAUGGCUGUUCGCCAUUUAAAGUGGUACGCGAGCUGGGUUUAGAACGUCGUGAGACAGUUCGGUCCCUAUCUGCCGUGGACGUUUGAGAUUUGAGAGGGGCUGCUCCUAGUACGAGAGGACCGGAGUGGACGAACCUCUGGUGUUCCGGUUGUCACGCCAGUGGCAUUGCCGGGUAGCUAUGUUCGGAAAAGAUAACCGCUGAAAGCAUCUAAGCGGGAAACUUGCCUCAAGAUGAGAUCUCACUGGGAACUUGAUUCCCCUGAAGGGCCGUCGAAGACUACGACGUUGAUAGGCUGGGUGUGUAAGCGUUGUGAGGCGUUGAGCUAACCAGUACUAAUUGCCCGUGAGGCUUGACCAUAUAACACCCAAACA